rnacentral:rRNA from 1 species
AUUGAACGCUGGCGGCAGGCUUAACACAUGCAAGUCGAGCGGAGAUGAGGUGCUUGCACCUUAUCUUAGCGGCGGACGGGUGAGUAAUGCUUAGGAAUCUGCCUAUUAGUGGGGGACAACAUUCCGAAAGGAAUGCUAAUACCGCAUACGUCCUACGGGAGAAAGCAGGGGACCUUCGGACCUUGCGCUAAUAGAUGAGCCUAAGUCGGAUUAGCUAGUUGGUGGGGUAAAGGCCUACCAAGGCGACGAUCUGUAGCGGGUCUGAGAGGAUGAUCCGCCACACUGGGACUGAGACACGGCCCAGACUCCUACGGGAGGCAGCAGUGGGGAAUAUUGGACAAUGGGGGGAACCCUGAUCCAGCCAUGCCGCGUGUGUGAAGAAGGCCUUAUGGUUGUAAAGCACUUUAAGCGAGGAGGAGGCUGCUGAGACUAAUACUCUUGGAUAGUGGACGUUACUCGCAGAAUAAGCACCGGCUAACUCUGUGCCAGCAGCCGCCGUAAUAC